ensembl:ncRNA F59F3.10 ncRNA
UCUCUCUCUCUCGUCUCGGUGUCAUUGUGUUCCCGCACCCCGUCUGUCUCUAGCUGUAGAGAAUGGUUUUUGUUUUCGUCGGAUUAGUGUAUUC